UAGGGAAUUUUUCACAAUGAGCGAAAGCUUGAUGGAGCAAUGCCGCGUGAACGAUGAAGGUCUUUAAGAUUGUAAAGUUCUUUUAUUUGGGAAGAAUAACUUUAGCAGGUAAUGGCUAGAGUUUGACUGUACCAUUUUGAAUAAGUGACGACUAACUAUGUGCCAGCAGUCGCGGUAAUACAUAGGUCGCAAGCGUUAUCCGGAUUUAUUGGGCGUAAAGCAAGCGCAGGCGGAUUGAAAAGUCUGGUGUUAAAGGCAGCUGCUUAACAGUUGUAUGCAUUGGAAACUAUUAAUCUAGAGUGUGGUAGGGAGUUUUGGAAUUUCAUGUGGAGUGGUGAAAUGCGUAGAUAUAUGAAGGAACACCAGUGGCGAAGGCGAAAACUUAGGCCAUUACUGACGCUUAGGCUUGAAAGUGUGGGGAGCAAAUAGGAUUAGAUACCCUAGUAGUCCACACCGUAAACGAUAGAUACUAGCUGUCGGGGCGAUCCCCUCGGUAGUGAAGUUAACACAUUAAGUAUCUCGCCUGGGUAGUACAUUCGCAAGAAUG
rnacentral:rRNA from 1 species